rnacentral:rRNA from 1 species
UUAACACAUGCAAGUCGAACGAUGACCCGGUGCUUGCACCGGUGAUUAGUGGCGAACGGGUGAGUAACACGUGAGUAACCUGCCCUUAACUCUGGGAUAAGCCUGGGAAACUGGGUCUAAUACCGGAUAUGACUCCUCAUCGCAUGGUGGGGGGUGGAAAGCUUUAUUGUGGUUUUGGAUGGACUCGCGGCCUAUCAGCUUGUUGGUGAGGUAAUGGCUCACCAAGGCGACGACGGGUAGCCGGCCUGAGAGGGUGACCGGCCACACUGGGACUGAGACACGGCCCAGACUCCUACGGGAGGCAGCAGUGGGGAAUAUUGCACAAUGGGCGAAAGCCUGAUGCAGCGACGCCGCGUGAGGGAUGACGGCCUUCGGGUUGUAAACCUCUUUCAGUAGGGAAGAAGCGAAAGUGACGGUACCUGCAGAAGAAGCGCCGGCUAACUACGUGCCAGCAGCCGCGGUAAUACGUAGGGCGCAAGCGUUAUCCGGAAUUAUUGGGCGUAAAGAGCUCGUA